rnacentral:lncRNA from 1 species
AUGCAUUCUCUGGUCUGAGGUCUGCUCUAGAGAGCUGAGUAGGUAAAGAAUUGCAAGUGUUGAGAGUCACAGCCAGAUUUGCCUCUGUGCCUUUAGCUGGUGGCUCCACAGAAAACAGGACAUGUUUAUCUCAAGAGUGACAAUAACUGUAAACACCCAGUCACAAAGUUCAGCCUUUGAGACUGCAUGUUUAAAUGGGGCAGAAGGGGGAUAUGGACGCUAGGGCUGUAGGAGCUCAUGACGAGGAGUACCCACCAUGGGCCUGGGUGGAGAAAGGGUCAUGGAAUUUACAGAGGGACAGUAGAGUUGUUAGGCAAAGAGUUCAUCCACACAUCAGGAAGAAAGUACAGAGCUUUGCCACAUUCUCAUUUGAUUGUUGCAAGUAGGUAAAUAAGGUCCAUUUAGUAGGAAGAUGGGUACCUUCCACUGCCCAUGAGGUGAGCAUUCCCCUUAUUGCUAGCUUAGCAGAAAGGCAAUAGCAUCUCUGAGAGCUGUUACUUCUUCAGACCAGCAUGUCCCAGAGCUGGGCAUUGAGGUGUUUCUCCCUAUCCCAACCAUUGUGGUUUCUCAUCCUACACUAGGCUCCCCUCUGGGUCUCUCAGGCCUUGCUCAGCUCCCCUCUUACAGGGUUCAGUCAUACACAGUGCAUAGAUUCUCACACAUACGUGCACGGAUCCUCAUUUGCCACAGCUGAGAAACAUGCAACACAUAGUUCAGUCACUGUUUCUGGAGUCUAGUCUUGGAUGGCUUCAGUGAGUUUUGACUCAGGGACUUGUGAGUCUGUAACUUGAAUGCAGGUGUCAAUGCUGACAUCUUUACCAAGCAUUUUUGGGGGUGACUUUAGUCCAGUGAACUUAAAAGACUGAGAAAGAACCCAUCAAGACUGCUGUUUCCAGCCAUGCUCCCCUGUCCCAACAUGGCUGUUUGUGUCAUCGGGGCCACACAGGAACGUCUAUGUCCUCAAAAGAGCCUCCACCCCCUUU